GUUAGUAUUCUGUGCAUUCUCUGUGACGAUGGUGUUAGUAUCAGGGUUGUAAAUUGACACCUUCCUGGUGAACAUGGGUCACAAAGCUCUUGGAAUGAAGAAAAACCGUUAUGAAAGAAUUAGAUUAUAAGAAAAAUUAAAUAUGGAAUGACUUUAAAAUUUGGCCACUACAACUGACGCAACAAAGAAGAAUUUUCUGUUCACUUGUAGCUAACAGUAGAUUCCAUACAUGGGUAAUUGCUGCUGUCCAAAACCUGACACCUCCGUUGGCGAGGAACCGUUCUUGAAAGAGGGGAAUUGUGGUAUGAUCUGUUCUUAACAGUUCCUCCAAACAGGCCCUGUGCACAAAAAUUAAUAAUUGGAAUAGCAAUUUAAUCACCCAGAUUCAAAAUAUGGACUGUGUUGCACAACCUAUCAAAAUUUCAAGUAAUUUGGUGCACGCUCUGGCAAACUCAAUGUCUUCAAAACUUGGAUUAUUUCGAGUUUGUGCAUUUCAAACAAAGUUUGUUCUAUCAUAUCAAGUUCAAUUUAUGCAUUAUCGGGAAAUUGCAUAAAUUACAAUAUGAAAUUAUCAACUCCAA